CCCAAACAUUUGGCAAACAGAAGUCCUCACAUGGAGGUUUUUUUCCUCCAUGUUUUGUCCGAGUUCAGGCACGUUGUCCAUGACGGCUACAAGACAAACCCUUAUCACUGAAAAACGCAACCCUUGGACGAACAGAGUCCUGUGUUUCAUCACGUGGCACUGUGUAGUUCCGUGCAACAUUUUUGCUUUGCAUUGCAUUGCAUUGCACAACAUGAUCGCCUUGGUCUAACUUCAAAUGAUCCUGUGUGAUCUCAUCUCUCAAAAAGACUCCAACAAUCUAUCGAGUCCCACGUUGAGAAUGUCCUGUUGUAGAUUUAACUCUACCAGAAGGCAAGUAAAAGAGAAUUUUUUUUUUAAAAAAACAGUCAUGAUUUUUAGUGCAUGUCUCUCCUGAAAUAGUACAGAUCAAGACCAAACAUCACCAAAACAAAAACAAAAAUAAAUUUCUUAGAUAAAUGCAGAUUGUUAUAAAAUAUAUUAGUUUCUUGUACAAAAAGGGUGAGGGAAAAAAAGUCAAGAGGUAUAAAAAAAACGAGUGUUGUGACGAGAGGGGAGUCCUCCUGAAGAGUCAAAGGCAGCUGCAGCAGAGAUGAGGGUUGGGUGGGGCUUUAAGACAGGCCAACCAUGUGGUCGAUCUGCCUCAUGUAGACGCUUUUGAGAGGCAGGCCGAAGCGCCUCUCCUCGGGGAUCCGGUCACACUGCUGGCACACAGACACAACAGGUCACUCACUCACACAGACACAACAGGUCACUAACUCACACAGACACAACAGGUCACUCACUCACACAGACACAACAGGUCACUCACUCACACAGACACAACAGGUCACUCACUUACUCACACAGACACAACAGGUCACUCACUCACUCACACAGACACAACAGGUCACUCACUCACUCGCACAGAAUCAUUUAAUUUACCCAGCAACAACACUGUUAAUGGGG
ensembl:lncRNA